CUUUGAGACUGGGACUGGUAAGGCUUUGAGACUGGGACUGUUAAGGCUUUGAGACUGGGACUGUUAAGGCUUUGAGACUGUUGCGUUGUUAAGGGCUUUAAGGCUGUUGCAUCUGCGGUUCAUUAUUCAAAUAACGUCAGUAAAACAUGGAUGGGGUUACUAUUGCACUUUUAUUUUUAAAUACAUACACUCUGAAACAAGCCACAGUUGACAUCAGUGAGCUACUGCCGUCAAUAAGCCUCCAUUCUUAUCCCCUUACUAACACAUCCUCUGGCUGCUUCUGCUAGAAACAUCACAUGACCUGAUGAACUGAACGUAUAAUAUCUGUAUUUACUGAAAACAUCCCUACAGUACAUUUGUAUGCAAAGCUAUAUUCAGGAGUGUAAGAUGGUUCAAAGGUCCACGUCUUGGUCGCUAGGCUGCUGCAGCUGAGACAGAGACAGAGCAGGUGUCAGGACUCAGGGCUUUGAGACCGUGUUAAGGCUUUGAGAGGGUAACAGUGUUAAGGCUUUGAGACUGUAACAGUGUUAAGGCUGAGAGGGUAACAGUGUUAAGGCUUUGGGACUGUAACAGUGUUAAGGCUUUGGGACUGUAACAGUGUUAAGGCUGAGAGGGUAACAGUGUUUAGGCUUUGGGACUGUAACAGUGUUAAGGCUUUGGGACUGUAACAGUGUUAAGGCUUUGGGACUGUAACAGUGUUAAGGCUUUGGGACUGUAACAGUGUUAAGGCUUUGGGACUGUAACAGUGUUAAGGCUGAGAGGGUAACAGUGUUAAGGCUGAGAGGGUAACAGUGUUAAGGCUUUGAGAGGGUAACAGUGUUAAGGCUUUGGGACUGUAACAGUGUUAAGGCUUUGAGAGGGUAACAGUGUUAAGGCUUUGGGACUGUAACAGCGUUAAGGCUUUGGGGCUGUAACAGUGUUAAGGCUUUGGGACUGUAACAGUGUUAAGGCUUUGAGAGGGUAACAGCGUUAAGGCUUUGGUACUGUAACAGUGUUCAGGCAGCAGUAACACGGGGGCGAGGAUGGACUCACCAUGGCGUACAGGGGGCUGGAGUUGAUGAGGAACUGCAGCAGGACCAUGGUGAGCUCCUGCAGGUCCACCAGGACCUCGGUGGCCCUGUGGGGCAGACCCCGGAGCUGGCCCACCAGGUCCAGCUCGGCCAGCAGGCCGGCCUGGGCCCGGACCUGGGUCAGGGCCAGGCCCCGCAGGGCCCCCGUCUGCAGCGCCAGCGCCGACAGGAACAGCUGCAGCUGACGGAGCUGCAAGCCCAUCAUGUCCACCACCCGGCCCAGACCCACCUAGAGGACCACCAGUACAGAACCAGUACAUCAGUACUCACACCAGUACAGGCCCAGUACAUCAGUACUGACAAUGAU
ensembl:lncRNA